rfam:Ictidomys tridecemlineatus contig027023, whole genome shotgun sequence.
GGGGUUGUGGCUCAGUGGUAGAGCGCUCGCCUCACACGUGCAGGGCUCUGGGUUCGAUCCUCAGCACCA